rnacentral:rRNA from 1 species
GGAUCCGCGGUGCAUUAGUUAGUUGGUGGGGUAAAGGCUUACCAAGACGAUGAUGCAUAGCCGAGUUGAGAGACUGAUCGGCCACAUUGGGACUGAGACACGGCCCAAACUCCUACGGGAGGCUGCAGUAGGGAAUCUUCCACAAUGGGCGCAAGCCUGAUGGAGCAACGCCGCGUGUGUGAUGAAGGCUUUCGGGUCGUAAAGCACUGUUGUAUGGGAAGAAAUGCUAAAAUAGGGAAUGAUUUUAGUUUGACGGUACCAUACCAGAAAGGGACGGCUAAAUACGUGCCAGCAGCCGCGGUAAUACGUAUGUCCCGAGCGUUAUCCGGAUUUAUUGGGCGUAAAGCGAGCGCAGACGGUUGAUUAAGUCUGAUGUGAAAGCCCGGAGCUCAACUCCGGAAUGGCAUUGGAAACUGGUUAACUUGAGUGUUGUAGAGGUAAGUGGAACUCCAUGUGUAGCGGUGGAAUGCGUAGAUAUAUGGAAGAACACCAGUGGCGAAGGCGGCUUACUGGACAACAACUGACGUUGAGGCUCGAAAGUGUGGGUAGCAAACAGGAUUAGAUACCCUGGUAGUCCACACCGUAAACGAUGAAUACUAGGUGUUAGGAGGUUUCCGCCUCUUAGUGCCGAAGCUAACGCAUUAAGUAUUCCGCCUGGGGAGUACGACCGCAAGGUUGAAACUCAAAGGAAUUGACGGGGACCCGCACAAGCGGUGGAGCAUGUGGUUUAAUUCGAAGCAACGCGAAGAACCUUACCAGGUCUUGACAUCCUUUGAAGCUUUUAGAGAUAGAAGUGUUCUCUUCGGAGACAAAGUGACAGGUGGUGCAUGGUCGUCGUCAGCUCGUGUCGUGAGAUGUUGGGUUAAGUCCCGCAACGAGCGCAACCCUUAUUGUUAGUUGCCAGCAUUCAGUUGGGCACUCUAGCGAGACUGCCGGUGACAAACCGGAGGAAGGCGGGGACGACGUCAGAUCAUCAUGCCCCUUAUGACCUGGGCUACACACGUGCUACAAUGGCGUAUACAACGAGUUGCCAACCUGCGAAGGUGAGCUAAUCUCUUAAAGUACGUCUCAGUUCGGACUGCAGUCUGCAACUCGACUGCACGAAGUCGGAAUCGCUAGUAAUCGCGGAUCAGCACGCCGCGGUGAAUACGUUCCCGGGUCUUGUACACACCGCCCGCCACACCAUGGGAGUUUGUAAUGCCCAAAGCCGGUGGCCUAACCUUCGGGAGGGAGCCGUCUAAGGCAGGACAGAUGACUAGGGUGAAGUCGUAACAAGGUAGCCGUAG